rnacentral:rRNA from 1 species
UGGGGAAUUUUGGACAAUGGGCGAAAGCCUGAUCCAGCAAUGCCGCGUGUGUGAAGAAGGCCUUCGGGUUGUAAAGCACUUUUGUCCGGAAAGAAAUCCUUGGCUCUAAUACAGUCGGGGGAUGACGGUACCGGAAGAAUAAGCACCGGCUAACUACGUGCCAGCAGCCGCGGUAAUACGUAGGGUGCAAGCGUUAAUCGGAAUUACUGGGCGUAAAGCGUGCGCAGGCGGUUUGCUAAGACCGAUGUGAAAUCCCCGGGCUCAACCUGGGAACUGCAUUGGUGACUGGCAGGCUAGAGUAUGGCAGAGGGGGGUAGAAUUCCACGUGUAGCAGUGAAAUGCGUAGAGAUGUGGAGGAAUACCGAUGGCGAAGGCAGCCCCCUGGGCCAAUACUGACGCUCAUGCACGAAAAGCGUGGGGAGCAAAACAGGAUUAGAUACCCUGGUAGUCCACGCCCUAAAACGAUGUCAACUAGUUGUUGGGGAUUCAUUUCCUUAGUAACGUAGCUAACGCGUGAAGUUGACCGCCUGGGGAGUACGGUCGCAAAGAUUAAAAACUCAAAUGAAUUGACGGGGUCAUAGCUGUUUCCU